UGCAGGAGAGGCCCCGCGACCCUGUCUGGGGAACCUCCGGAGGCAGCGCGUCCCAGGAGCCCGCAGAAGCGCCCGUUAGGCUGCGCGCCCGCGGGGGACCCGCCGCGCCGCCCCGCCCCGCCCCGCACCCCCGCGCCCGGCGCCCGCCGCCCUCUCCCCUCCCUGCCUCCUCCUCCCCACAUUCCCUUCCCGAGCCUCUCCGGGGCCCCCCUCCGUCCCCGCCAGCGCCCCCUCCCCGCGCCGGCCGCGGUGAAGUUUCGCCCUGCGCUUCCGCUUGAACCGCAUCCAGCUGCCUCGCCUUUAAAAUGCCGGGGCGGCCGCGACUCCGCGCUCAGCCCCUGUCGGCCGCCGGGCCGGGCUCGCCCGCACCUCCGGGGCGCUGACUCAGCCGCAGCCGCCCUCCCCGCCGAGCCGGGCCUGCGCUGCGCCCCGCGCCCCAGCCCCGCCGCCCGGGACCCGCGAGCGCACGGGACGGCCUCGCCAGUGGCUGCCCAUGCAGGGGCCUGCUGUCAGCGUGAACAGCUCUCAGCUGCGGUGAUGUCCAGCCUCUGGCCUGACCUCCCGGGGUGGCCCGACCCAGAGUGCGUGUCCUCCCAGUGGCCCUUGUGACCUGGUGACCACUCCGACUGCAGGGGUGGAAGAUGGUACCGGUCAGCCCCCGGCUGCACGAGGAGCCCGCGGCCGCAGCCCCGACAUGGAGGAGCCCACGCCCGAGCCCGUCUAUGUCGACGUGGACAAAGGGCUGACCCUGGCCUGCUUCGUCUUCCUCUGCCUCUUCCUCGUGGUGAUGAUCAUUCGCUGCGCCAAGGUCAUCAUGGACCCCUACAGCGCCAUUCCCACGUCCACCUGGGAGGAGCAGCACCUGGAUGACUGAG
rnacentral:lncRNA from 1 species